GACGAACGCUGGCGGCGUGCUUAACACAUGCAAGUCGAACGGAAAGGCCCUGCUUUUGUGGGGUGCUCGAGUGGCGAACGGGUGAGUAACACGUGAGUAACCUGCCCUUGACUUUGGGAUAACUUCAGGAAACUGGGGCUAAUACCGGAUAGGAGCUCCUGCUGCAUGGUGGGGGUUGGAAAGUUUCGGCGGUUGGGGAUGGACUCGCGGCUCAUCAGCUUGUUGGUGGGGUAGUGGCUUACCAAGGCUUUGACGGGUAGCCGGCCUGAGAGGGUGGCCGGCCACAUUGGGACUGAGAUACGGCCCAGACUCCUACGGGAGGCAGCAGUGGGGAAUAUUGCACAAUGGGCGGAAGCCUGAUGCAGCAACGCCGCGUGCGGGAUGACGGCCUUCGGGUUGUAAACCGCUUUCGCCUGUGACGAAGCGUGAGUGACGGUAAUGGGUAAAGAAGCACCGGCUAACUACGUG
rnacentral:rRNA from 1 species